GCCUAGAUAGCUCAGUUGAUUAGAGCGUGGUGCUGAUAACACCAAGGUUGCAGGUUCGAUCUCUGUAUGGGACG